rnacentral:lncRNA from 1 species
CCGCCGAUCACUUGGAGCCACGUGCGGCCGCCGGCGGGCUGCGUAGUGACGCAGGCGCGAGACUGUGCGGUGGCAGCCAUGGCGGACGGUUGCGAUGAGGCUGCUCCUGGGUCUCGCGGCUAUCCAAGACCAUCGAGGGUCCCCGGCGGCGCCUGCCGUCUGCUGAGGCUGGGUGGACUCCUCUGCGGCAGAUCUCCUGUAAGAUGUGCUGGUUAAGGCUUCUGGCAGAUUCGGGUCAGUCCCAAGUGCGACCGGUCUUCUGGGGCUGCCGUCCGCAGACCCUUCUCGCAUCCACGUACCUGGCGGCCUCCCUCAUCGCGUGCUGUUGGUAGGGGGGCGAGUCAGGCCCUGUACACGUCCUGACAGGCACCCGGCCCACCCCCAGCCAACUGUGCGCUGUGUUCCUGCCCCAGCACGAGACCUGUGGGGUGUCCGCGGCAGAAGAUGUCAGAGCUGGAAGAGACCUGAGAGGCGAUCCCCUUGGUGGGUGAUGGUUCUUCCGGGAAUCUGGUGGUUUGCGCGCCUUGUCGUCUGCUUCCAGAACAAGGAUCUUCGCUGUACGCCAAGACCCAGAUCCCUCUGACAUCGGAAUGACAAGUGGGAUAUUUAAUAAAACAGUUUCAAAUU